GUGCUUGCUUUGGCAGCACAUACACUAAAAUUGGAACAAUACAGAGAAAAUUAGCAUGGCCUCUGCAAGAGGAUGACAUGCAAAUUUGUAAAGCAUUCCAUAUUUUU